CCAAAGCUUCUGGUUGAUCAUCUGCAGAUUGUGUUGUUUGUGCAGUUCCAACUUUGAACUUGACUAUCAGGCUUCUGUUCUGGUUUUCCUGAUUUUUUAAUUUAAAAAAAAUAUUAGUUAACAUAAUAAAGAAAAAAAUAAAAGUAAAAAAAUAGUCUUAGUUAUAGUGUAAAAUAUCAUCUUACAUUCCCUUUUGUUUGUUCAUCUCCUUGGCAGCCAUACUCUUCCCCACUGAAUUGCCUUUUCUGCUCGGAAUGUCCAUUUGUUGAGGAUUUUGCUUUUUUAAGCUUUCUCUUCAGAGCCUUGUUGAGGCUGUCUUACGCCCUUUUCUCCAUCUCUAGCUGCUUUAUUUUGUCAUCGGCAAACUGUAACUUGUGCACGUAAUCAUUGAUUCUAUUCUGGAGUUAUUCGUUUGCUUUGCCGAGUUCUUUUAGCUUCUCAUUCAAAUCUUCUAGGAUCUCCUCCUCCAAGUCUGUCAGUAGUGUUUUAAAAUUGUCGCCCACUCUUUUAUUUUCUUCCACUUCUUGAUGGCUUGAUAAAGGAACCUGAGACCAAAUACAUACAGAUAAGUAUGAAGUUUACUACCUCCUAGUAAACUACUUUUUUUCACAAUCAGGAAAAAAAAAAUAGUGACUUACUACCCCCAGUAAAUGUUUACUGGGGGUUGUAAACUAUGUUAAACAGGUUUACUACCCACAGUUAACUAUGCCAAUAGUCAACUAUUGAUUUAGAGAUGAUUAUACAGUUUACUGCCCCUAAUAAACUUGAUAUCGUACACUACUUAUGUAAUGAAAAGUGAAGUUUACUGCCCCUAGUGAACUAUUACUAGGGGCAGUAAAGUAUGCCAAUGCACUUUUAUUUCAUUCAUUUUUCAGACUUACCCAUUCUUCAAAGCUUCGGGUGCCAUGUUCGUCUGGGGUGUCAUAUUCCUCUGAUCCGGAAGUGCUUUAUUCCUUAUCCUUCCAUGGACCUUGAGCAACCAGUUCCUGUUUUUUGCAAAAAUAAGAUUUGUUCAGUUUUUCAGAAACAACAUCAAAGUACAAUGCUGUAUAAUAUUUGGAAAACCAAAAACCAAUUUUUACCUCAAGCUUUUUCGGUCUCUUUAGAUAGUCGCUUCCGUAGAUGAUGCCAUUUGUGGACCAUCUUACAAAUCUUGGCAUAUCUGCUUGUUUCUUCUGGAUCAUUUCUUUGAUUUUUGUACUCUCCAAGAAGCAGUACAGAGGCAGAACUACGCAACCAUUCAGACCCUUUGGCUUGCCCUUGACAUGCUUUUUCACUCCUUCAUGGAAGGCUUCAAUCACCUUUCUUGACCAGUUUAUUUUGUUUAUUGCUUCUAGGUCCUCACAUGUCAGCACCAUUUGCCAUUCAAUUUGGCUUCCAGAUGUGUUGAAGAAGAAAGUGCCAGUAGGUACAUUANGAUCAAGGAAGCAAUUU
rnacentral:lncRNA from 1 species